GCUUGUCUCAAAGAUUAAGCCAUGCAUGUCUUAGUGUAAAUAACUCUUAUGAAACUGCGAAUGGCUCAUUAAAACAGUUAUAGUUUAUUUGGUGGUCAACUCUUACAUGGAUAACCGUGGUAAUUCUAGAGCUAAUACAUGCUGUAAAGCCCGACUUCUCGGAAGGGCCGUAUUUAUUAGAUAACAGACCAAUAUUCCUCGUGUCUAUUGUGGUGAAUCAUAGUAACUGAUCGGAUCGCAUGGGCUACGCCCGCGACAAACCAUUCAAGUUUCUGCCCCAUCAGCUUUCGAUGGUAGUGUAUUGGACUACCAUGGCUUUUACGGGUAACGGAGGAUUAGGGUUCGAUUCCGGAGAGGGAGCCUGAGAAACGGCUACCACAUCUAAGGAAGGCAGCAGG
rnacentral:rRNA from 1 species